rnacentral:rRNA from 1 species
UAGGGAAUCUUCGGCAAUGGACGGAAGUCUGACCGAGCAACGCCGCGUGAGUGAAGAAGGUUUACGGAUCGUAAAGCUCUGUUGUUAGAGAAGAACGUUGGUAGGAGUGGAAAAUCUACCAAGUGACGGUAACUAACCAGAAAGGGACGGCUAACUACGUGCCAGCAGCCGCGGUAAUACGUAGGUCCCGAGCGUUGUCCGGAUUUAUUGGGCGUAAAGCGAGCGCAGGCGGUUCUUUAAGUCUGAAGUUAAAGGCAGUGGCUUAACCAUUGUACGCUUUGGAAACUGGAGGACUUGAGGGCAGAAGGGGAGAGUGGAAUUCCAUGGGUAGCGGGGAGAUGCGUAGAUAUAUGGAGGAACACCGGUGGCGAAAGCGGCUCUCUGGUCUGUAACGGACGCUGAGGCUCGAAAGCGUGGGGAGCAAACAGG